rnacentral:rRNA from 1 species
GGUUAAGUUAACAAGGGCGCAUGGUGAAUGCCUUGGCACUAGGAGCCGAUGAAGGACGGGACUAACACCGAUAUGCUUCGGGGAGCUGUACGUAAGCUAUGAUCCGGAGAUUUCCGAAUGGGGGAACCC